UACGACUCCGCCGUAUCAAUAUCACUGCGCCACGGGGGAAAAAAAGACCGACACGAAAACGCUAAUUACUAAAAAAUGACUGGAAACCGGGCAGUGCCAUAUAUUUAGAGAGUCACGACACUCCCAUAGGGAUCCAUUAUACGAUUUUACUUCCGGGUUAUGGAGCCUUGGAUAGUUACAAACAUCGCAUUUGACAUGGCGGACACCAUUCAUUUGAACGGCAGGCUGUCAAGUAUAUUCGGAGAGGCCCUUUGUGACAUACACUUAUCUCUCAUGGCAUGAGGGAAGGUUGCUGUGCAAACUCAUAGCCUUUCUUUCCAGCUGCUCCACAACAUUGGAGGAUUCCAUGAGGGAAUCAUUCGUUGCCAAACGGAACAGCUGCUCGACAUCCUUUAAGAGAGUGAAGACCUCAUCCGAUGGCCGGUGCUUCAACCAAUGCACACUGGCAUUGGUUGCAGAGUGAGAAGCUGAUGACCCUCUUCACUAUGCAUCCUGCCAGAUGUUGCCAUUUUGCCUGACAGCGUGGUCCCUGGUGCAUCUGGGCCUAGUGUUGUGGCGCCACCGCUGGUUCCUGAUUGGUCGGCACCCGGCUCAUCCACCCCUGGAUCACCUGGCCUGGAUACGUCAUUGUCAUUGUGCUCACUUUCGCCCAACCUUCCCACCUCAAUUUCUCCCUGAAUGUCUGUAACAAUAACAAGGCAUUCUUAAUUUCAUAUGCAGUCAGUGUUUUUACAUUUGCACCUAUUGUCAUCUCCAAAGUAAGGGUACACUACACUCCUAAAGGGAAAAAAAUAAAUAACGGACAUUACUGUUACAUGAAUCAAAUCAUCUGCCACAAUCAGAAACUGCUAUGGCAUUGCCAUGUGUCAACAGUGUGGUGAUAUCAUGGCGUUGGUUCUGCUUUGCUGUUGUAUCCACCAGAAAUGUUUAGUUAUAGGUGAAAAUUAAAUGCAUAAAUAAAGCUAAAUUAUGAAGUAACUAACAAUGAAGUAGAUCGAAAUUUUGUGUGUAAAUCCCAGGACAAUUCCUGACCUCUUGUAUUUGAAGCUGAAUGUAUUAAUAUAAAAAAUGUAAUUAUAUUAUUAGGAGUGUAGUUUAUCCUUGAAUUACUUGGCAUGGGAAAUGUUGUUGACAGCUGGUCUGUAUCAUACCCAAGUUUAACCUGGUGCAAUAUGUAUGGUCUGUUUGAAUUUUGGUUGGAGGCACACUCCUAAAGGGAAGUUUCCUCCUCUUUGGCUUCGAACGAUGAAUGAAAAUGGUUGGGACAGCAUCUGGCCUCAAUUUUAAUGUGUGCCCUACUUUGAUUGGCGUAAA